rnacentral:rRNA from 1 species
UACGUAGGGUGCGAGCGUUGUCCGGAAUUAUUGGGCGUAAAGAGCUCGUAGGCGGUCUGUCGCGUCGGAUGUGAAAACUCGGGGCUCAACCCCGAGCCUGCAUUCGAUACGGGCAGACUAGAGUUCGGUAGGGGAGACUGGAAUUCCUGGUGUAGCGGUGAAAUGCGCAGAUAUCAGGAGGAACACCGGUGGCGAAGGCGGGUCUCUGGGCCGAUACUGACGCUGAGGAGCGAAAGCGUGGGGAGCGAACAGGA